AUUGAACGCUGGCGGCAGGCCUAACACAUGCAAGUCGAACGGCAACAGGAUGAAACUUUCUUCUUUCGUGACGCGUGUCGCGCGCGUGAGUGAUGUCUAUGAAACUCCCCGAUGUCGGGGGGGAACUACUGGGAACGGUUGCUCUAAUAGCAUAUAGUACCUACAGCAGAAAGCAGGGCCUUCUGGCACCUUGCGCUCUUGAGUGAGCCGAUGGCGGAUUAGCUAGUUGGGGGGGUAAAGGCUCACCUAGGCGACGAUCCGUAGCUGGUCUGAGAGGAUGACCAGCCACACUGGAACUGAGACACGGUCCAGACUCCUACGGGAGGCAGCAGUGGGGAAUAUUGGACAAAGGGCGCAAGCCUGAUGCAGCCAUGCCGCGUGUGUGAAGAAGGCCUUCGGGUUGUAAAGUACUUUUAGUGGGGAAGAAGGGAAUCAAGUUAAUACCUUGCCGCAUUGACGGUACCCGAAGAAUAAGCACCGGCUAACUCCGUG
rnacentral:rRNA from 1 species